rnacentral:rRNA from 1 species
AUACGGAGGAUCCGAGCGUUAUCCGGAUUUAUUGGGUUUAAAGGGUGCGCAGGCGGCCAUUUAAGUCAGCGGUUAAAUCGUGGGGCUCAACCCCAUUCUGCCGUUGAUACUGGGUGGCUUGAUUGCGGUCGAGGUUAGCGGAAUUCGUUGUGUAGCGGUGAAAUGCAUAGAUAUGACGAAGAACACCGAUUGCGUAGGCAGCUGACCAGACCGCAAAUGACGCUCAUGCACGAAAGUGCGGGGAUCGAACAGGAUUAGAUACCCUGGUAGUCCGCACAGUAAACGAUGAAUACUUGUUUUCGGCGAUAUAAUGUCGGAGGCAAAGCGAAAGCGAUAAGUAUUCCACCUGGGGAGUACGCCGGCAACGGUGAAACUCAAAGGAAUUGACGGGG